UCUCCCUGACACCCCUGUGCUCUCCUUCACCAGGUUCUCCUUCUCAUCCCUGACACCCCUGUGCUCUCCUUCACCAGGUUCUCCUUCACCAGGUUCUCCUUCUCUCCCUGACACCCCUGUGCUCUCCUUCACCAGGUUCUCCUUCACCAGGGUUCUCCUUCACCAGGUUCUCCUUCACCAGGUUCUCCUUCUCAUCCCUGACACCCCUGUGCUCUCCUUCACCAGGUUCUCCUUCACCAGGCUCUCCCUCAUCCCUGACAGCCCUGUGCUCUCCUUCACCAGGUUCUCCUUCUCAUCCCUGACACCCCUGUGCUCUCCUUCACCAGGCUCUCCUUCACCAGGUUCUCCUUCCCAUCCUUCUCUGUUUCAGAAGUGUGUAAAGCCCUGAAAUAAAUUGAUAGAACAGAAUCCCCUGUCCCUGAUGAACUAGACCCCUGCUUCCUACACCUGCUGCUGACAUCAUUGCUCCACCCUAUAUUUCUAACCUCACGCUUGAUGUUCAGGAAAUCCCCAAGUUAUGGAAAUCUGCUUUUGUACUGCCUCUCCUGAAAGGUGGAGAUCCUUCGCUACUUGACAACUAUCGUCCCAAAUCAAAACCGUCUGUUCUGUCAAAGGUCCUGGAGUCCUUAGUUAGUAGGUCCUGGAGUCCUUAGUUAGUAGGUCCUGGAGUCCUUAGUUAGUAGGUCCUGGAGUCCUUAGUUAGUAGGUCC
ensembl:lncRNA